UUAUUUUUCAUCAUAAAUUUCAUCAUAAAUCUUGCUUUAUAAAACUAAAAGUACUACAGUCUUAGAUUAACCUGCAAGUGCUGCACAGUGGCUCACAAAAGAUUUUGCCUGCUAUUUGGAGCAUAACAACCUUAAAGAAAUAUUGAAAAGACAGUGGCACCAACACUACGCAACAAAUCACAAAGCACUUCCCAAAGGAAGCGCGAAUGUGUGUGAUAUCUACCAUUAAGUUGCAAAUUAGAAUUGUAUUUGAUAGGUAUUGGUGGUUCUUUUCUCAGCAGGAGAUGGAGGUUUGGAGUAACAACAGCAGACAUGGAACUGUGCAGAUCUAUGCCCUUUUCAUGGGUCUUGGGAAUCCCAAGUCUAUGAUCUAGCCAAAUUUCAUUCACAACAAUUGUGUAUUGACUACUUGUCUAGCGAAAGCAACUUCAGCACAAAUACCUAUGUUUCCUCUGGCGCUGUUCAUAUUCUCAGAUUAUCUAAAAUGACACCAUCAUUUUUUUUUUAACCUUAGAUCAUUCACUUUUUUCCUAUCAUUACAUUCUCAUGCCCUAGUUUUAUAAAUUCUUUAUUUUUACAUUUCUGUAAUGACUGUGAACAUUAUCAGAAACAAAAUGAAAAGUUGCUAAUGUUAAGAAAACCUUGACAAACAGAGCUGGAAAAGCCAUGGAGAGAAGGUUCUCAUUCUUUUUUAUUGGGUAAGAAAAAAAGUUACUAAAAACAUAAUCUUGCAUAAAGCUUAUCACAUUAUACAAAAAACUUCUGCAAGGACAUCUGAUCGGUAACUGCCAGUUCAAACUUGACCUGAUGUCACCCUUGUUAUUAAUGUUUGUAGUGAAUGAUAAGUAUUUUAGAACAUUUAUUUAAUCCUUUUCAUUUUUUUCUUUGAAAACCUUUGUCUUCCUUUAUCUCCUUAAGUACAUAAAUGGUUUACUAUGGUACACAUAAACCCAUUACAAAACUUCUUUCCCACAUAAACAACUUUUCUUUUAGAGUCUCUUUCUGUUUAUUAAGUUGACACAAUGUAUCCAAAAGCAGCUGAAUGCACAGCUUGAACUCUCAUCCAAGCACACAAAUAAGGCAUUGAUAAAACCUACUCUGGUGGUAAGUGGAAAAGAGACGAGAGCAAAGUGAAGCUGCAGAUUUCGCGUUUGUAGGAGGCUUCCUUGGGCUGCCAGGCUGCAGAAACUUCCUCACCGUGGGCAGGUUGCUGAUUCUGGUUUUCAGGGCCUGUAAUUCACAAAGCACAGCCUCAGAGUGAAGCUAAGGGCUGACAUCACCGUUUACACCACCCAGGGAAUCUGAGCCCUCCUGCCAAAGACCAAGUGAGUCUCCUCCAUCAGCAGCAGUAUGGAGGCAGAAACAGAUACGCAGAGAGAAAUGAAGAGAAGAGGAAGAACAUGUAGCUCGCUAGCAUUUUCCCCAAAGAUGUCUUUAAGAUUUUAUUCAGUUCAGUCAUCCCUAGCUUAGCCCUUACAUAUUAAUACUGUAGAUUUGUGGCUUUUGUGUAAGACAAGAA